UGAUUUAUUUUAAAGUUAAUUUCAGUCCAUUAAUGCAAAAUAUUUAAAGGAAUGUUUACCGUAGGAUUUUGUAUUAUAUGUUUACACACUCAGUCCACCUCUACAAGAUUUACUUGUGAGUUGAAAGCUAAUUGCACCGUAAAGAAAAACUAUUUAUUAAAUAUUGAGCUUUUUGUUUAUGCAGCUGUGAAUAAGUAAACAAUUUUCAAUUUUGAUUAUGCCAUGUAAUUUUAAAAUUUGUUGUGUUUUAAAGAUGUGAAUAUAUGGGUACUUUUUGGUAGAAAUUCAAUAAUCCUGACUGCUUUUUUCUGCAUGAUAAAUAGAAAACUGACAGCAAAUGCAAGCAUUGGGAGAAACUUUUUUUGGAAAGUGCUGUUUAUGAAAAAAGUAUGAGUGUUUGUGAAACUACUGGCAACCUGCUUGUAUGGAAAGAUAUAAAAGUAUCAUUAACCAAAGUUUCAGGUAAACAUCCUAUAAGGUUAUUUUUUAUUGAUAGAUUUAAAAAAAUAGAUUAUUUUUGAAUGUAUUAUAGCCUAUGCCGAUGUAAUUUUGAAGUUGUGCAAGGGGGCAAGGAAUUUAGACGUUAAAGUACUUACACACAAACUAAUCUCAAUAUGCUUCAAGAAUUAAUAACAAAAAUAACUUUUAGAAGAUUACCAAUACUUUCUUCCUGCCAUCUUCAAAAUGUUUGAAAAAUUAAUUUACUGUGGAUGAGUGAAAUAAAAACGUUGUUUAAGAAGAAUUUUUACUACAUUUAUAAAGUGUUACUUUAUAAGGCAUAAAAUUGACAGUAAUUUUUGUUUGACAAUUGCUGUUUUCACAAUU